UUUAAUUGAAGAGUUUGAUCAUGGCUCAGAUUGAACGCUGGCGGCAGGCUUAACACAUGCAAGUCGAGCGGUAGCACAGGGGAGCUUGCUCCCCGGGUGACGAGCGGCGGACGGGUGAGUAAUGUCUGGGAAACUGCCUGAUGGAGGGGGAUAACUACUGGAAACGGUAGCUAAUACCGCAUAACGUCGCAAGACCAAAGAGGGGGACCUUCGGGCCUCUUGCCAUCAGAUGUGCCCAGAUGGGAUUAGCUAGUAGGUGGGGUAAUGGCUCACCUAGGCGACGAUCCCUAGCUGGUCUGAGAGGAUGACCAGCCACACUGGAACUGAGACACGGUCCAGACUCCUACGGGAGGCAGCAGUGGGGAAUAUUGCACAAUGGGCGCAAGCCUGAUGCAGCCAUGCCGCGUGUGUGAAGAAGGCCUUCGGGUUGUAAAGCACUUUCAGCGAGGAGGAAGGUGGUGAGCUUAAUACGUUCAUCAAUUGACGUUACUCGCAGAAGAAGCACCGGCUAACUCCGUGCCAGCAGCCGCGGUAAUACGGAGGGUGCAAGCGUUAAUCGGAAUUACUGGGCGUAAAGCGCACGCAGGCGGUUUGUUAAGUCAGAUGUGAAAUCCCCGGGCUCAACC
rnacentral:rRNA from 1 species